AAAGGGGCCUUGCUGUCAGUUUUCUGAGAGCAGCCUUUGUUGUUUGGGGGUUCUCAUGGGAUCCCUUUAGCCAACAACUCAAUUAGAUGUAGUACAAUCCUGGUACUAAAAGCUUUGGUUCGAUCGGGAGCGGAGAGCGGAUCCUAGAGAGCCCUGAGAGUCCCACCGCCGCCGCCCGCCUAGUCACCAUCACACCCGGAAGGAGCCGCAGCCCUCGCCGCCGGCCCCAGUCACCAUCACCGCAACCAUGAGCAGCGAGGCCGAGACCCAGCAGCCGCCCGCCGCCCUCAGCGCCGCCGACACCAAGCCCGGCUCCACCGGCAGCGACGCAGGUAGUGGCGGCCCGAGCAGCCUCACAUCAGCGGCGUCCGCCGGCGGGGACAAGAAGGUCAUCGCAGCGAAGGUUUUGGGAACAGUCAAAGGGUUCAAAGUAAGGAACGGAUACGGUUUCAUCAACAGGAAUGACACCAAGGAAGACAUAUUUGUACACCAGACUGCUAUAAAGAAGAAUAACCCCAGGAAGUACCUUCGCAGUGUAGGCGAUGGAGAGACUGAGGAGUUUGAUGUUGUUGAAGGAGAAAGCGGUGCGGAGGCAGCAAAUGUUACAGACCCUGGUGGAGUUCCAGUUCAAGGCAGUAAAUACGCAGCAGACCAUAAUGUUUCCCUUUCCUCCUGCAGUUUGGUGAAAAGCAAGGAACUCCUUCUACCCUUAGAAUUUCCAACAUUCCUUCUUAUUCAUCAGCUGCAUGCGGGUGCUUCUUCACAACAUAAUCUGCUUAUUGUGAACUUGGUCUUUUUAAAAUGUAUUUUGCUUUUAAAUAUAAAAAUAAAUAAAAUAUUUCUUUUAAAUA